UCCCUUACCUGGCGGGGGACAGACCGUGGUCAGGAAGGGGGUUCUCCCUGGUUGAGGCUAGUCCACCGCACUCUGGCUGCGCUCACCCCUGCGAUUUCCCCACACGCGGGGCCCUAGUCUGCGGU
ensembl:snRNA RNU1-151P RNA, U1 small nuclear 151, pseudogene